UACGUAGGCAGCGAGCGUUGUUCGGAGUUACUGGGCGUAAAGCGUGCGUAGGCGGUUUUGUAAGUUUGGUGUGAAAUCUCCCGGCUCAACUGGGAGGGUGCGCCGAAAACUGCAAGGCUGGAGUGUGGGAGAGGUAGGCGGAAUUCCUGGUGUAGCGGUGAAAUGCGUAGAUAUGCGGAGGAACACCGAUGGCGAAGGCAAUCCCCUGGGCCUGCACUGACGCUCAUGCACGAAAGCGUGGGGAGCAAACAGG
rnacentral:rRNA from 1 species